CCGAUGCAAACUACGAAUACCGAAGAAUGUUAUCACGGGAGACACACGGCGGGUGCUAACGUCCGUCGUGAAGAGGGAAACAACCCAGACCGCCAGCUAAGGUCCCAAAGUCAUGGUUAAGUGGGAAACGAUGUGGGAAGGCACAGACAGCCAGGAUGUUGGCUUAGAAGCAGCCAUCAUUUAAAGAAAGCGUAAUAGCUCACUGGUCGAGUCGGCCUGCGCGGAAGAUGUAACGGGGCUAAACCAUGCACCGAAGCUGCGGCAGCGACACUAUGUGUUGUUGGGUAGGGGAGCGUUCUGUAAGCCUGCGAAGGUGACCUGUGAGGGUUGCUGGAGGUAUCAGAAGUGCGAAUGCUGACAUAAGUAACGAUAAAGCGGGUGAAA
rnacentral:rRNA from 1 species